rnacentral:rRNA from 1 species
UAGAGUUUGAUCCUGGCUCAGAUUGAACGCUGGCGGUAUGCUUAACACAUGCAAGUCGAACGGAAACGAUACUAGCUUGCUAGUAGGCGUCGAGUGGCGGACGGGUGAGUAACGCGUAGGAAUCUACCUAAUAGUGGGGGAUAGCCCGGAGAAAUCCGGAUUAAUACCGCAUAAUCUCUAUGGAGUAAAGGGGCCCUCUUCUUGAAAGGUUUCGCUAUCAGAUGAGCCUGCGUAAGAUUAGCUAGUUGGUGAGGUAAAAGCUCACCAAGGCGACGAUCUUUAGCUGGUCUGAGAGGAUGAUCAGCCACACUGGGACUGAGACACGGCCCAGACUCCUACGGGAGGCAGCAGUGGGGAAUAUUGGACAAUGGGGGCAACCCUGAUCCAGCAAUACCGCGUGUGUGAAGAAGGCCUGAGGGUUGUAAAGCACUUUCAAUUGUGAAGAAAAGUUAAUAGUUAAUAACUAUUAGCCU